rnacentral:lncRNA from 1 species
AAAAAAUCCGUCCCCCUUCCCGACACAUGAACCCUAAAUCCCUAUAUUCCUCUAUUCUCGAAGCUCUUACGUUUUGACUCAAUCCGCCGAGAAUCGAUCUUGUUCUUAUACUUCUCCGCCGAGAAUUUGAAUCCCAGAAAUCUGACGAACCCCUAAUCCCCUUUCUGAAAUUCUGGGGAACACUAAAUCACAAGGUGAUCUUGUCAUGUUUGAGUUUUUUUUUGCCAUUAGCUUUCUCGGUAGCUGUUACCUUUAUACUGCCUUGGCUCUCUUCAUCACAUGUGCCUUAGAACGUUGUUGCUGAAUUGAGAAUUAAUGGUUCUGUGAAUCUCUUUAACAGAACUUAUAUUGUAGAUGUUGUCCCAGGUGGAAGUCCAGAAUGGCUAAGAACCGUGAUACUUGCUGUUGUUAUUGCUACUUUCAUAAGUCUGACUAUCGUAUACCUCCGGUAAUGCUCUAUCUCAAAGCUUUGUUUUGGAAACUUAUCACAAUAAUUAGUAAACAUUACUUGAAAAAUUUAUGGUCCCCAGGUUCGAAAAGGUCGAUUGUUACUUGCACUAUGCAUUAUCACUGACCUCUCUGUUGCUCUUGUAUCUUCUGGUUUUCUUCUUGCAUUUACUGAGUAUACUGCAAGAGCAGUAAAUGUAAUAAGUAGUCCCUCUCUGUUGUCUCUCGUUUCAUUGGAAGUUGUUUGUUUUUGGGGUGGCAAUUGUUUAAUUCUUUUAAUGUUGCUAAUGUGGUUGUUCACAUGAUAUGAAGUAGAAGACUGGUCUCUCUUGGAAAGUCCCACGGAAUUGCAGGUUUUGAGUCUGAAACCACCUUUCUUUCCUCUGUUUUUACGAUUGUUUAAGGAAAUCAUGAUUGUUUUUUUUUUUCGUUUGCAGUCUUUAUUCACUUCGGAGAUAUGAUAAAUCUAUGUAUGAAGAAAAUAGCGAGCCACCUGGAGAAUCCCAAGAGUGAAGUGUGUAUGUGUUUACAAAAGUAUAUAGAGAUUUGUUUUUGUUACAUGACCAAGAAGAAGAAAGCUGCAAGCCAAAUUUUGUAAAAAAUCAUCCUGAUCCAUUGUUCUAAAAAAAGAAACACAACACAAAUGUCUUUUUUUUGUUGCGCCAAAAGAGCCCAUUUUUCUUCUGCAGCACUCUUUGUCUCGUGUGAUCAAUACCUCAACAACACUCUUAUACUUACAUUUCAGUAAAAGUACUCUUGUAUGUUUUCAUCUCCUCUUAAAAGAGUAACUAUGAGUACUAACGUGGUG